GGGUCUGCGUUCCAUUAGCUAGUUGGUGAGGUAACGGCUCACCAAGGCGACGAUGGGUAGCCGGCCUGAGAGGGUGUACGGUCACACUGGGACUGAGACACGGUCCAGACUUCUACGGGAGGCAGCAGUAGGGAAUAUUGUGCAAUGGGGGCAACCUUGACGCAGCGACCCCGCGUGAGUGAUGAAGGCCUUCGGGUCGUAAAGCUCUGUCAUGAGGGAAGAAAAAAAUGACGGUACCUCAUGAGGAAGCCCCGGCUAACUACGUGCCAGCAGCCGCGGUAAUACGUAGGGGGCAAGCGUUGUCCGGAAUUACUGGGCGUAAAGGGUGCGUAGGCGGCCAAUUAAGUCAGAUGUGAAAGACCACAGCUUAACCGAGGGAUUGCAUUUGAAACUGGUUGGCUUGAGUAUCGGAGAGGGUAGUGGAAUUCCCGGUGUAGCGGUGAUAUGCGUAGAUAUCGGGAAGAACACCAAUGGCGAAGGCGACUACCUGGAC
rnacentral:rRNA from 1 species